AGAGUUUGAUCCUGGCUCAGGAUAAACGCUGGCGGCGCACAUAAGACAUGCAAGUCGAACGAACUUAACCAUUAGUUUACUAUUGGAGCGGUUAGUGGCGGACUGGUGAGUAACACGUAAGCAACCUGCCUAUCAGAGGGGAACAACAGUUAGAAAUGACUGCUAAUACCGCAUAAGCCUUAGCAACGCAUGUUGCAAAAGGAAAAGGAGCAAUCCGCUGAUAGAUGGGCUUGCGUCUGAUUAGCUAGUUGGUGAGAUAACAGCCCACCAAGCCGACGAUCGGUAGCCGG
rnacentral:rRNA from 1 species